GAUGAACGCUAGCGGCAGGCUUAAUACAUGCAAGUCGUGGGGCAGCAUGAGUAGCAAUACUUGAUGGCGACCGGCAAACGGGUGAGGAACACGUACACAACCUUCCUUCAAGCGGGGAAUAGCCCAGAGAAAUUUGGAUUAAUACCCCAUAAUAUAUUUGAUAAGGCAUCUUAUUAAUAUUAAAGCUUCGGCACUUGAUGAUGGGUGUGCGGCUGAUUAGAUAGUUGGCGGGGUAACGGCCCACCAAGUCUACGAUCAGUAGCUGAUGUGAGAGCAUGAUCAGCCACACGGGCACUGAGACACGGGCCCGACUCCUACGGGAGGCAGCAGUAAGGAAUAUUGGACAAUGGACGAAAGUACUGAUCCAGCCAUGCCGCGUGAAGGAUUAAGGUACCUCUGGAUUGUAACUUCUUUUAUAUGGGACGAAAAAGGGCAUUCUUGUUCACUUGACGGUACCAUAUGAAUAAGCACCGGCUAACUCCGUGCCAGC
rnacentral:rRNA from 1 species